GUCCAGGAUCCAGGUUAGCAAAGCAGGUUUAUAACGAUCAGUCUGUGUAAACUGUAUUUAUCCUCUGUCAGGAUUCACUACAGCAAAGAUGACAUCACAUUUUUACUUUGUCGUUCUUUGUUUGCUCGGUGGCCCGUUAACGGAGAGACAUGUCUCGAGCUUCGUGCCAGGUUGGUCGCUCUGACUUAUUUAUGCUUGGAUGACUCGUGUGUGAAGUGUGUGCUCGGUGCAGUUUGCCUGUCAACAAGGGUGUGCAAAAAGCACUGAGGUGAACUUCGCUAAAGGCAGAGCUGCAUUUGAGCAGAAAAUGCUGAAAGAGAAAGUGUCUGUGCUGAAAACAAUGUAUGAGAAAGGAGGGGCUGCUCACAGUCAGCCACCUGCAAGAAGGUGGAGUUCCUGCUCCAGUCUGAGUGAUGGAUGAGAUCUGAUGAUGCUGCAUCAGCAGUGAUGACGCCGUACUGAUGUGUUGUUGUGAGGAGAGAGCUGAGCGUGAACAUGGAGCCAUCGCGUCGAUCUACAUUCCUACUCUCACCUCUGACCACAUCGUGGAUACAAGCAGCAGAAAUGAGCUUCUUCCUGUGGGUGGAGAUCAGGAGCUCAGCCAUUCAGGAGGAGCUCAAAGCAGAGCUGCUUCUCCUCCACAGUAAAAGGAGCAAAAUGAGGUGGUUUAGACAUUGAACUGAAUCCCUUUGGAGGGCCUCCUAAAUGAACUGUUUCAGGUUUGUCCUCCUGGGAGGGGGUCCUGGAGCAGAUCCAGGACAAGCUGGAGAGAUCACUUGACUGGUCUGGGAACUCCUCGGUGUCCCCCUGGAGGAGGAGGAGAUGUUUGAGUUUACCCCAUGGAGAGAUGUUAUG